rnacentral:misc_RNA from 1 species
GCAUUUUAGAAGCCAUGUUCUCUAGAUCACUCCUUGAAACAGCAUAAAGCUGAGUUGACUCGAAGCCAUCCUGUGCACUAGAAUACAGUUGUUGAAUUUCAUCUGACCGAAGAUCGCAUUUGAUGAAGAAAAAAGCAGUUGGUCUAACAUUCAAUAUUCUUCUGGAUAUACCAAUAAAGAUGGGGCUGGAGAGGGAAUCUGCAGGAGUUCCAAUUUCUUCAACAACUUCACGGACAAUGCUGUCAAACAUUUCCUGAGAAACUUUGCUGUUAAUCAUGUGACAUUGAUUUAGCUCUUGGAAGCCUUCAUGGGAGAUUAUUCCGACUUCUUGGGGCUCUGGAUGGCCUCCAGGAAAAACAAAAUAUCCAGGGAAUUCUCCAACGUUAUUACUUCUCUGAAGCACAAGUAUUCUUCUGUCAGAAGUCUCCACAACUGCACCAUUACCAAGAGGACUUGAUGUGUGCUGACACUGUAUACAAUCAUCUUUAGAUGGAACAAGAAAUCUUUCCCACAUAGGACUUAAAUUUGUUCCCACGAAUGUCCUGAUGAGAAUUUUUUUUCAAAUGUUAGAAGAUCAUUUUAUCCUCUAUUUUUCGCUCUUCCUCUAUACAAGUAAAUGCAUGGAUACAAGUAAAGUGUAGACGGCACAUGGCAGACAUUUACAAGUUCUCGUUUUUCAGAACCCGAGAUUUUAACAACACAUAUAAAGAACAUAAACAGUGGUACGGAAGAUGCCUCAUAUAGCUAUUGAUGAGCAAAUAUACAAUUGAAAUCAGGGAAAAUGACAAAUUAAAGGGGGAUUGAUAUGUAUGAAAACAAUUUGGCAGAACUUCGGAAAGUAAACCUAGAUUUUCAAGACAUGGAGCAUACAACACCAAAG